rnacentral:rRNA from 1 species
UACGUAGGGUGCAAGCGUUGUCCGGAAUUAUUGGGCGUAAAGAGCUCGUAGGCGGUUUGUUGCGUCGACUGUGAAAACCCGCGGCUUAACUGCGGGCUUGCAGUUGAUACGGGCAGGCUAGAGUUCGGUAGGGGAGACUGGAAUUCCUGGUGUAGCGGUGAAAUGCGCAGAUAUCAGGAGGAACACCGGUGGCGAAGGCGGGUCUCUGGGCCGAUACUGACGCUGAGGAGCGAAAGCGUGGGGAGCGAACAGG